CCUACGGGUGGCAGCAGUCGAGAAUCAUUCACAAUGGGGGAAACCCUGAUGGUGCGACGCCGCGUGGAGGAAUGCAGGUCUUCGGGUUGUAAACUCCUGUCAUGUGGGAGCAAAUUAAAAAGAUAGUACCACAAGAGGAAGAGCCGGCUAACGCUGUGCCAGCAGCCGCGGUAAUACAGAGGUCUCAAGCGUUGUUCGGAAUCACUGGGCGUAAAGCGUGCGUAGGCGGUUUGGUAAGUCGUGUGUGAAAGGCCCGGGCUCAACCCGCGGACGGCACAUGAUACUGCGGGACUAGAGUUAUGGAGGGGGAAGCGGAAUGCGCGGUGUAGCAGUGAAAUGCGUAGAUAUCGAGAGGAACACUGGUGGCGAAGGCAGGUUCCUGGACAUUAACUGACGCUGAGGCACGAAGGCCAGGGGAGCGAAAGGGAUUAGAUACCCGAGUAGUC
rnacentral:rRNA from 1 species